UGUGGGAUACUCAAGCGGUCAACGAGGGCAGACUGUAAAUCUGCUGGCUCACGCCUUCGGUGGUUCGAAUCCACCUCCCACAACCA
rnacentral:tRNA from 1 species